rnacentral:lncRNA from 1 species
UAUAUACUAGAAUCCUCUCUGUGUUCUGUUACCAUAGAGACGUGUAUAUACUAGAAUCCUCUCUGUGUUGCUCUGUUACCAUAGAGACGUGUAUAUACUAGAAUCCUAACACACAGAGAGAGGCGGGACUCUCUCUCCUGCCUGGCGUGACCCGUUACCAUGGUGAGGACUAGGAGAGGGGCUCAUUGGCUUAGUGAGGAGGGGGCUCCGCAGCGGUUUUUGGCAUGUUGUGUUAUUUCUUUAUAACACAAUAAUCUACAAAGCAGGUGGCUCUUUUACACUUGGGGUUUAAUAGGAAAGAACGUUUUCUUUCCCCCAAGUCGAGGUUAAUCCCUUAUUUUAUUUAUGAAUAUUGACUCAGAGUAUAUGUUAGGAUACAACAGAUUUGGCAUCCUUAUUUAUCCUGCUCCUUUGCACCCCAGUAUCUCUACUUGCACAUUCAUCUUCUGCACAUCCUACCAUUCCAGUGUUUAAUUGCUAUAUUGUAAUUACUUCGCCACUAUGGCCUAUUUAUUGCCUUAACUUACCUCAUUUCCACUCACUGUAUAUAGACUUUUUAUUUUCUUUGGUUCUACUGUAUUAUUGACUGUAUGUUUGUUUUACUCCAUGUGUAACUCUGUGUUGUUGUAUGUUGUCGAACUGCUUUGCUUUAUCUUGGCCAGGUCGCAGUUGUAAAUGAGAACUUGUUCUCAACUAGCCUACCUGGUUAAAUAAAGGACUUGUUCUCAACUAGCCUACCUGGUUAAAUAAAGGACUUGUUCUCAACUAGCCUACCUGGUUAAAUAAAGGACUUGUUCUCAACUAGCCUACCUGGUUAAAUAAAGGACUUGUUCUCAACUAGCCUACCUGGUUAAAUAAAGGACUUGUUCUCAACUAGCCUACCUGGUUAAAUAAAGGACUUGUUCUCAACUAGCCUAACCUGGUUAAAUAAAGGUGAAAUGAAAAUAAUCAGGUGACUGUCCUCUCUGUGUCCCCCAUCAGGUGACUGUCCUCUCUGUGUCCCCAUCAGGUGACUGUCCUCUCUGUGUCCCCAUCAGGUGACUGUCCUCUCUGUGUCCCCAUCAGGUGACUGUCCUCUCUGUGUCCCCAUCAGGUGAUUGUCCUCUCUGUGUCCCCAUCAGGUGACUGUCCUCUCUGUGUCCCCCAUCAGGUGACUGUCCUCUCUGUGUCCCCAUCAGGUGACUGUCCUCUGAGUUCACCCCCCUCUUCCAGGAUGAACGGCUACCCCCCUCCCUCCUUCCCCCAGGGAGGGUUCGACUCAUACGCCUCGCAACUCAAUGGUCAUGGUUCCCAGUCCACAGAGCCUCCAGAUUGCAACGCCAGGUCCAACACCAAGUCCAUCUCUAAAACCCUUUACGAACAACGGAAGAACUACACCAAAAACAGCAUCAACAGCAUGACUAACACCUCCCAGUACCACGUAGAGGUCAGUCUACAUACAGCAUGACUACCACCCUCACAGUACCACGUAGAGGUCAGUCUACUACUGUACAUACAGCAUGACGAACACCUCCCAGUACCACGUAGAGGUCAGUCUACUACUGUACAUACAGCAUGACUAACACCCUCACAGUACCACGUAGAGGUCAGUCUACUACUGUACAUACAGCAUGACGAACACCUCCCAGUACCACGUAGAGGUCAGUCUACUACUGUACAUACAGCAUGACGAACACCUCCCAGUACCACGUAGAGGUCAGUCUACUACUGUACAUACAGCAUGAUGAACACCUCCCAGUACCA